UACAAUUGGCCACGCUCAUUAUGGUCUUUUCAUCCGCAUCAACUCUGCUAUUUGGGUAACGAUGCAAAAAUACCUCUGGCAUUGGUAUUAACAUGGGUUACCGAAAUUUUUGCUCCGUUUAAGCAUUGCGGCACACUUCAAUCAGCACUCCAUUUGUUGCAAAAAACCCACCAACAAUUGAACCAACAAAGUGAUGACCUCUUGGAAAUCACAAUGGAAUUGGAGUCCAUGUUUGGAGUUAUUCCCAACCAAAACACCAGCUUGCCGGACGAAGAUAUCGAUUGGGACCUACAGGAGCAGGAACUAAACAAUCUUUUGACGCCCGAAAACCCGGCCCCGAUAGAGAACUGGACUCGCUUGGAGGAAGAGUUUGACCACCUCACCAAAACCGAGAAAAUGGACAGCUCUGUCCAGGCGUCUCCAACUAGCCUGACAAAAGGGACCACCAUCAGUGUAAAAACAGGAAAAAAGCACAAGGAGCGAUGUCCACGAGCCUUCAUGGUCACAGUCACAUGGGGUCGUGCAUGUUUAGCAUGCGCUAGUCCAAACCACGUCCAGGCCAAAUGUCCUAGUCUCCAAACCAGCCAUGUACAUCUAUGUGCCUACCCGCAAUGUGGCAACUCCAGACCUCACGUGAUCAAAGGAUGUGUCACAUUGCAUUCAAGAUGCAAUAAGUGUUUGUGUCGUGGGCAUAUGAGCAGCCAGUGAGAUGACAAUACUGCACAACAGUGGUUUGAAAUGUUCCAAAAAUACGCAUCGCACGGAAGGUACACUCAAAGACUUUUCCAUGACGCCGCUUGGGGAUUUUGGCCCUGGCAAGAUUCCCGCACAAACAAUACAACAGUUCCAUUGUGUGCUCAGCAAGUGUAUUUGCCAAAAAUGAACUUUGUCCAAACUCAAAGCCGAGUGCUCCAAGCUCUGAGUAAAACAGAAGAAAACCCCAAACAAUUAUCAAGGGAGAUUGCAUAUUGAAAUAUUUGUAAAAAACCUUUGAACAGCAUGUUUACCUUCUAUACCCCCCUUAUGCAUAGCAAGCGUCUUUUACUGCACCUAAGGUUGGCUUGCUACUCACGCCAACGGCGGGGAGUGUUAUGUGCUGUGCACUGUUCUCUGUACUUGGCGAAAUUCGGGAAACACACAACUUGAAUGCUCUGGGGUAUGUUUGAUUUAUCUGGGGAAUCUUCAGAAACAAGAAAACUUACGAAAUCAGUGGUGGUCAUGGAUCUAGACCCACGAAUACGAACAAUCAAAAGUAUUUCAUAAACCCGUAUGUAACUUAAAGUGCAUAUCCGAUUCGGUGUCCAAGCUCAAUGAACUCAAAAGUUCAUGCGUCAUGUCUAGACGUCUGGCCUUGAGAAAAGCGGAACAAACUGCAGUUUGACAACCGAUCAUUACCUAGCAACCAGGCCCAUCACACGUAAGCGUUCUAGAAAAGGUCCCGUGACUCCCUAUUGCACUGGAUAUUUCUGAGGCAAACACUGUAGUCACGGGCCCUCCUCCUUCUAGAACAUCAACCUCGGGUAUAAAAAGCCGUCCCCAGAGCAAAGAAAAAGAGUUGAUAUGAUGAAGUAAAACGAAACGCAAGUUAUUCUUCAUUUGGCUCCACUUUGGAGCUAGCAAGCUCUUUUAACUUUAGCAUCAGAUCAAAAGUUGUCUGGUGUCGAGGUGCAAUCAAUUUCGUAAAGAGAAGUGCAAAGUGCAGACAGUGAAUCCCUGUACCGAGGAGUCAAAGAGGCCAAGCCAUCCUUACCCCUUAUAUCCCUGACCAACUUGAUGGUGGUAUUCUUUUUAGGUUUCCUCUUCUUCAUUUGUGUACUGUCCACUGGUCGUAACUCAGUUUGCAUUGAGAACUGGCUUUUGAUAUCUUGAUCGAGCAUCGCGAGAUUUCAUAGCUAAUUCUUUCUGAGUCGUUUUGUGUACUGUCCACUGGUCGUAACUCAGUUUGCAUUGAGAACUGACUUUGAUAUCUUGAUCUAGCAUUGCGAGAUUUCAUAGCUAAUUCUUUCUGAGUAUUACCUGAUUAUUGUCGUGAUUCAGAUUGGCAUUGGGACUGGCAUUGGUAACCUAGCUUGGUUCAAUACGGACCGUUGCAUUGGAGGCUUCCAUAUCCAAUCUAUCAAUUUGAAUCUAGUUGUUCGGAUUGACCUGCAUUGGGCGUAGGCUCCGGCCACCGCCGCCGCAAUCCGUUGUACCGUAAAUCUAUCGUAAGUUAAGGCACUCUGUCCUCUCUCUAUCUCAAAAUCAUCCUCAUACUUGGUCAGAGAAAAGGUGAACGAGUAAACGGCUGAGCUAAGGAGGCACCAUCGGAUCCUUGACUCUCCUCUCCAGUUCGUACCAAGGUACGUCCAAGCGGUGGGCCCAAUGGCCCCUCUUCCAGAACGCCCAAUGCCUCCUCUUCCAGACCGCCCAAUGCCUACUCUUACAGAAACCGCUCGCCCAUCAACCUUCCCAUGCCUUCAUUCGCAAACGCACCCAGGUCGUCUCGGCGUCGACCCAGGACCAAGCCGCCCUCUACAUCAGUGGGACACACCUCUACCCGCCCGUCGGACUUGGCCGCCAUUUCCCGCGAUGACCUCGAACGGGAACUAUGUAAACGGCUCCGCUGUUCCUAAUGCUUCUCAGCUCUUCUGCCUUCAAUUCUCAAGCACCUUGUGGACUCCUUCCCCAUGGCUCCCGUCUGAAAGCCUCAUGUCCCAUGAAUGCUCUCCACCUCUCAACAGCACUUUCCAUGAAGAACAAUUACUUUCAUAUUUUCUCGUCCUAUUCUCCUUUUAUAUCUUAAUGCUUCCAUCUUAUCCCGUAUUACACGAAUACCUUUCUUUUCACACUUCAACUUCUUUUCAUGUGUACUUGUAGUUGUGAAUUUGUCAGGUCUGCUCGCACCUAUGAUCGGGGUUCUCUCAGACAAAGCUUCCGGUUCUUCUUUGUUGACAAGGUCCACGGUUUCCUUUUACCUUGUCACGAGGGCAUGUACGCGUAUAUGUACAAAAGCAUCGUCAUGAGAAAACCACACUCUGAUCCCAAAGAGAGACUCUACGCUUCAACAUAUUGCGGCAGACCUGGAACACGCGCUUUAAGCCCCUCCUCUUCUCUGCCUUAAGCUCCUCCUUUUCUCUUUUCCAGUUGUGUAUUUAAAGCUAUGUUUAUCAUGAAUAAAAGGCAGUCUACGACUUACCCCCAAGACCAA